GAUGAACGCUGGCGGCGUGCCUAAUACAUGCAAGUCGAGCGAACAGACGAGGAGCUUGCUCCUCUCACGUUAGCCGAGCACGUGUGAGUAACACGUGGAUAACCUCCCUAUAAGACUGGGAUCUCUUCGGGACACCGGCGAUAAUACCGGAUAAUCUAUUGAACCGCAUGGUUCGAUAGUGAAAGACGGUUUUGCUGUCACUUAUAGCUGGAUACGCGCCGCAUUAGCUAGUUGGUAAGGUAACGGCUUACCAAGGCAACGAGGCGUAGCCGACGUGAGAGAGGGGUCGGCGACACUGGAGGUGGAACACGGUCCAUACGACUACGGUAGGCAGCAGUAGGGAAUCGGACGCAAUGGGCGAGAGCCUGACGGAGCAAGGCGGCGUGAGUGAUGAAGAUCUUCGGAGCGUAAAACUCUGUUAUUAGGGAAGAACAAAUGUGUAAGGAACUAUGCACGGCGUGACGGUAACUAAUCAGAAAGCAACGGCUAACUACGUG
rnacentral:rRNA from 1 species